AUUUUAAAUGACUCGAAGUAUGGUUCCGGAUUGGCAGAUUUAGAUUCUGUUUCCCCGUGUUGCAUUUAUUAACGUGAGUAAACUUAAAGAAAAGUUAAAUUCUUAUAUCUGUGAUAAAUGACAUGGCACAGCAAAAUUAAGUGUAUUACAUUAACAAUGGAGAACAGUAAAUGUUGAAUAUAUUUCAGUUCAUUUGAUCGUGCCAUUAAUAAACUUGUUCCAUUCAUAAAGUAUAAAUUUUCCCCACUAUAUACAGUUAUACAGUAUAAUAGAUUUUAACGGCUUCGUGUUUUUAGGCAACGAGAAAUGGCAGAUAUGGAAUUUUGUGGGCAUAAAUCGUAUUUCUCUUCGACUCCUCAUUAUUUCUUUCCUAAAUGUCAGAAGAAUAAUUUUGCAUUACAGUUUUAACACGUCUAAUCAAGGUUGAUUAUCAUUAUUGCCUAAACAUAUUUUGUAAUUAAUUACUGUAUAAUUAUCAUGUACAUGCACUACAACGUGAUUGAACGCUUCGCUUCUAUAACUCUUAGAUUUCUGACUUUUCCAAGUGGCUUGAAUAAAAGUAAUCAAUCAAUGACAGCAAUGCCACGAAUUAAUUUAUUCCAAUUUAUUGUGUAUAUUUAUCUUUUAUUAUUUUAGUUAAUAUUUGACGGUUAAAAGUCAUCCACGGACGGCAACAGUGAUAAAGGACGACAUAAUUAUUUCGUGAUGAAAAUGCUCGCAUAUUUAACAAUCAUCAGUCAGGUUUGUUUUUUA